AUCUGCCUAAACACACUAAAGGUACCAGAUGCCAUGUGAUCUUGGAAGCUAAUCAGGGUCUGUCCCAAUAUUAUUAAUACUUGGAUGGAAGACCACCAAUGAAUAUCGGGUGCUGAAGAUC
rnacentral:rRNA from 11 species